GAUGAACGCUGGCGGCGUGCCUAAUACAUGCAAGUCGAGCGAAGCGGGGACGGGGGAGUAACACGUGGAUAAACUCCUCUAAGACGGGGAAAACUUCCGGGAACCGGAGCUAAACCCGCUACUUAUAGAUGGAUCCGCGCUGUAUUAGCUAGUUGGUAAGGUAACGGAUUACCAAGGCGACGAUGCAUAGCCGACCGUAGAGGAUGAUCAGCCACACUGGAACUGAGACACGGUCCAGACUCCUACGGGAGGCAGCAGGAGGGAAUCGUCCGCAAUGGGCGAAAGCCUGACGGAGCAAUGCCGCGUGAAUGAUGAAGGUCUUCGGGUUGUAAAGCUCUGUUAGUGGGGAAGCGGUACCUAAUCAGAAAGCCACGGCUAACUACGUGCCAGCAGCCGCGGUAAUAC
rnacentral:rRNA from 1 species